CCUUCCUCCUCCAGCAGCACAAUAUGAUCCACCAGUAAGCAGGGACACCAAUAAGGCAUCUGAAAAGAUAAGUCUUAUAAAAUAUAUAGAUUUAUGAUAACUAAGACUGAGCUAACAGAUGAGAAGUUCUAGUCAUUGGCCAAGCAGCUUUAAACCUAAUACAAGUUUCUGUAUAUUCAUUUGGGCCUAACUCAGGCAGGCGGCUGGCAUAAAGCUCACCCGUGGCGGUGGGGCUCAGGCAGCUUUUGGCAGAAAGAUUUAUCGUAACAUACAUAUGCAAAUUUUUAUAAUCAUAGAGGGAUUUGGGACAGACUCCAGUGAAUGCAGGUAUGACAAAAAAAUUCUUACUUGAUUAUAUACUUUCAAAAUUGUUUAGAUAAAUUUGUAAAAUUAAUUGUAAACAAAUAAUUCACACAUCACCACCACACUCUAGCUGGCAAGGUUGUUUCCUACAGGGACGUGGGGUGGCGAUUCUGCUGUUACUAGACUUUUAUGCUGAAAUGAACCAAUUAAACACGUGAUCUCAGAAGGAGGGGUCUGUUUAGUUAUUAUUGGACUAGAAGAUUUUGGAAAAACAAGAAAAAAGAGAUGAGAAUUGGCCACAGCAACACACUGGUGAAGAACUGUUUCAUAAAAAUGGCAUAAAGAUAAAACUAAUAAAAUAUUGUGUACUGCGUGUCAUAUUUCUAUUUUUAAUAGUCAAGAUAUCAAGUGCUAUUUGUAAAUGCAUGUAUAGUAAGUAUUUUAAGGCAUACAUCAGAAGACAGUACAACACUAUAUAGCAUCUUGUCACUGACGAAGGGGGUCAAAUCAAAAAGGAAAUGCUCAAACCAUGAUUUCAAUUGUGUUUUCUUUUAAAUCUGAAGUCUGUGUGUAAGAGUCAGUAUUUGUUAUAAUGAGGGGAAACCAUCAAGAUGAUUGCUGUAUUGCACUGUAGUUUUGCACAUUUAAAAUUGCUGUAAUGAAAAGUAAAUCAUUUCAGCAAUACAUGUCAUUGAUAGGGGGUAUCUAUGCAGGAGUGGUUUAGUGUUAAUUAAGUAGACGCGUAUCAGAAAUGGCUGGGCAGCAGUACUUUCCUAACUACAGAAUGUGGGUGUAAGGGAGAAUGAAGCAUGGGUUCUGGGUAUCGGGUUCAAGCAACUGUGUGGAAGGAAGUUUAUUAAUUGCAAGAGGAGGUAAAGUGAGUUGGAGGUAAGAGAAGCUCUGACACAAAGUUCAUUUCAAAUGCUCAGUAGCUGUUUUCCUGGCUGGUUAGAAAAGAUGGGCUCGGGGUAUUAGUACAAGGACAUUCUUACUUCUAAAACCACACUUCCGUUUUGAUAGGCAUUUGGACUGCAUCUCAAGUCCAGGUUAGAGGUGAGCAAGGCAAAGGAACACAUCCUCCAGUUGCCUAAUUACGGGUGUCGUGAGACCAAGGAUUCCAAGUGGAUCCUCUCCUGAACUUUAACAACACCCUGGAGAAAAGAGCUAUUACAACUCAAGUGGUAGAAUAUGGCUCCCCUUUAACAGAAAUCAAUAGACUCUCUAGAGACAAGCAGCAAAUGACUUCCGUUUUAGAAUUUCACGACUGGCUUUGCUCCUGCACAACACAGUCUAUAAAAUCAUAGCAAGAGAUGAGCUUGUUGAAAACAAACACAGCAUCAAUCUAGACCAGCAGCCUGCUUGAGAGGCUUGGGACAUUGGUUGUUUAUUGUUAGAUGUCCUUUCAAACAAAGCCCAAGUCUAUAAAUCCCUGGUGACUUCUAGACCUGUCCUUGGCUUCACCUUAUCUAUCAUACAGAAGCUAUCACUAUAUUUACCAUGAUAACUUGCGAUUAUUUGCUUUUGUUUCAUUUUUGGAGAACCAUGAGACUGUUUUAAAACAAGAAGCAAAGGAGGAUUCAGAAGUGAACAAAUCAAGAACUGUCUUGGAAUCCAUAAACUAACAAGAACAGAGAAUUAAAUAGACCAGCUCUGUCUCUCUCUGUGUGUUUCUCUCUGUCUCUCUCUGUUUCUCUCAUCUCUGUCUCUCUGUGUUUGUGUCUCUCUUUUCUCUGUCUCUGUGUCCCUGUGUCUCUCAGUCCCCCUGUCUCUCUCUCUGUCUCUCUCUGUCUCUCUAUCCCUCUCUCGGACCCCAGCCUUCCCUUCUUCACUCCCUGUGACACGCUAACUGAAUGAAUGUAGAAACCACAGUAUUUCAGUCUGCAGCUCUUGGCUGAUCACUGAUGAGUGACAAACCAGGGGAGCCCUAUUUGGUCUCAGUCAAAUCAGCUACAGGUUUGAAACCAAAUAGUUCAAAAUAUAGAUCUGUUGGCAAAGAUUUGUGUCUGUCUCAGGGUAUCUAAUAAGUGUGUCUAUUCUUCAAUAUGGCCACAGUGAUUAAUUAGCUUAAAAUUAUAAUUUCAAAAGUUUCAAGUAAGUGCAAAUACUUUCCAUCUAUAACUUGUAAUGAAUCACUUAAUUCAAGUGUAAGACAUUUCAUCUUUUGAAAGUUUUGCACAAAUUAUUUUAUGCACUAAAUAAAUACUUUUAAAGAUAUUUUGGAAGCGGUUCAGGUUAUCAGUUUGGCUGUAUGUGAGACCAUAUAUGUAUUCAUAAUUGUUACCUGUAACAUUCACUGGCCCAGUGAUUUGAUUAAUUAAUUCAUUGAAUAAGCAAUACCCGGUAUCUAUUCACCAUAACUAUUCGAAAACCUACUAGCUUCUAUGAUAGCCUAUUUAGUUAUAGCAUACUAUGACUGUUAGGUAAGAAACUUAUAACCUUAAAUCUCCCUUCAGUGUUAACAUGCCUAUGGAUACUGCCAUUAUUAAAGUCUUCCUUAGGCAGCCAUUUAUAGAAGAGACUGUUUCACAGCAUAGUAUUCCUGACCCCUCUUUAACUAUAUUUCCUGAACCAUAGAUUGAAGAAUAUGGGUUGGAGCGUGUGCUCAAAGAUAAACUGUGAUCCAGGAUAGUGAAGUCUCUUUAAUCAAGAAAACACCAGGGCAAGACGCAGACCAGAGCGACGUUACAGGAACCCAACAAGCGUGGCCAGAAAAGGGCUAGGGUCUUCCGGUGCAGCCCUUAAAAAGCUCCCUUACGUCACACCGGAUUUCCUUCACCACGCCCUAAUGGGCGAGUCCCGGGUCCACCUGGCACCUGUCCCAUGACUAUUGGGCGGGGCUAGGGUGUCUCCCUACAAUACAUGCAGGAACUAUGAUGUAGACACAUCUGUUGGGGCUCAGCUGUCCAUGAUCGACUGAUGUCUUCUAUGUGUCCAGUUGUGGUUUUCUGUGAUGGUCUCCACAGGCAGCAAAGAGAGACCUCUUUGAUGAGGGGUUGUAGCAACACCUAUGUGUAGGUGUGAGGGCAAAGUUAAUAAUGUAGUAAGGAAUUACGCUGGUAUAGACAAGUGUCAGUCGUACAUUCCUUUCUAAAGACUAUGACCUCACUAACCCCAGAAAGCUCGAGAGACUUCCAGGACCAGGCAUGACUUCCCUCCAGUUGAGUAGGUUACUAGCCUUGGUGCACUGAGACAGAUGGCAGUUGCCACCAUCAUGGGAGUGCAUAACUUGCCAUGCAGGUUACGAGUUGUCGUUUGUAGGUGUUGUAGCCAAAUAGGACUGUUAAGUGCUUCCCUCCCUUGGCAGCCAGACUACAGGAAGGAAGCUUCCAUGUCAGACCCAGCUCUCAAUAUCCAAAUCCUGGGUCUUAAGGGUGAAGUGUCUUCAGCAACUAAUGACGUCAGGGAGAAGAAGACUUAGCCUCUGUUGGGGAUGAGUUCCCUUACUGGCCUUGCAAUGAAGAGUGAUCAGGCCUCUUCAUAUACAUAAACAACAAAAACAGCCUCAGCUGUUUGUGCAUAUACAUACAUACAUACAUACAUAUGUGUGUACAUAUAUGUGUGUAUGUACGUAGUAAUCAAAAAUAAAGAACCUAAUAACUUCAGGGUCUGGGUGCAUGGGAGAUGUGUUAGAUGGAGGGUGGCUGAGAGGGGCAGAAGGGAGAAAACAGAGGAGGAAAUUGGUGUAAUUCUAUUUCAAGUAAAAACAUAUUUUCAAAUAUAUCUACUGCUUCUCAGAUCUGCCAAACUCUGGACAUAUUCCUGACUCACACUGAAUAAACUUUAUGGAUAGACAUCUGCCUAGACAAAGAAUCGGACUUCAGUCAUGAGCCCUAACUCACAGGCAUGAGGAGCUGAGCCUGAAUCCUCAGAACACCCUGAGAAGGCAGGGCGUGGGACAUCAGACCUCAUCUGUUACAGGGGAACCGAAAAACAGAAGAGGACUGAAACAAAGAGAGUCAUUCCCUCGGUGACAUAGCCACUGACAUGCAAAUGCCCAGCUGUCUGCUCCUGCUGCCCUGAGUGCUGUCACACCUUCAGUGGGAUGGACGGCACCCUGCUAAACCAUGACCUAGGAUAAAUCAUUGCUCCCGUCAAUUGCUUUCUGUUGGUCAUUUUGCCACAUCGAUGAAAAGCAAAUCCAGUAUGGAAACGCAACACCAAGAAGAGGAGCAAUUGUUUGGACUAUCUGACUUCUCGUGCCUUGUAGGCCUUUGUGGCUGGUUUGUAGAGAGAAUUUUGAGGAGUUUGGACCUGUAGAAUAUAUCAGCCCUUGAGUGUUAGAAGCAGAGUUUAAUUGGUCAUUCAGAUGGAAGCUGGUGAAACAUGAAUUCUGAGAAAAAUUCAGACAGUGGGAGCCUAGAAGCCUGGCUUAUAAGGUAUCACUGAAAAAUGAGGUCUCUGUUAGGACUUCAGUUAUAGGACACUCAUGUUAAAUUAUUCCUGAGUCUGGAAAGCUGAGUUUAAAAGUAAUGGACCAAGUCAUUUGGCAGAGGGAUUUUCAAGAUCACGUAAAUGCUUAGCCUGUAGUGUGGUCAUUGUUCACUGCCUCUACUGAGGUUUAGAAGGAGAAUUAAGGAGAAAGCUUGCACUUUGCACUGCAACCAUAGGAAAUGUGCCCGAGGACAAGACCUUACCAAGCAAAGGCUGCAGUUGGGGACAAUGAAAAUGCACCUGAAAGGAAGGCUGAAUUGGGAACACCAGUGUAGUAGCUCCCUGUUCAAAAACAGCUACCAAGGGAUACAUCUAUCUACAAAACAAUUCCUGCAGCUAAGGUUUGGGGAACAUUAUGGAAAAGAGGGCUGAAAUAUUGUCAGAGCCAGAAGAUCAGGGCAUUCGCUAAGAGUGUGAGUCUCCUAGUAGUGUCAGAAGCUAGAAGCUACACACAUAAUUUCUCACCAACAGGGCUGACUAGACUUCGGCUGAAGAAGCAAAACAAAAAUGCACAAAAAUAGACAUGCUAAUGUAGAGGGGGAAACAUGAAGAAUUACAAGUAGACCAGGCAUUGGUGGUCUACACCUUUAAUCCCAGCAUGCAAGAGGCAGAGGCAGGUGGAUUUCUGUGAGUUCGAGGCCAGCCUGGUCUCCAGAGUGAGUGACAGGACAGCUCCAAAGCUACACAGAGAAACCCUGUCUCGGGAAAAAAAAAAAAAAUCAACAAAAGAGAAUUACAGUCAAGUACAGAAGGCUGAGUGGUGUGUGUGUGUGUGUGUGUGUGUGUGUGUGUGUGUGUGUGUGUGUGUGUGUGUGUGUGUGUGUAAUAACAACUAAUUGUUUUAAGGAGUCCAUGAUUUUGAAAUAGAACCGGAGUGGGUUUGUAGAGAGAAAAUGGGAGGCUUUGUAGAGAGGAGAGGGAAUGGAGAAAUGUCAGAAUUGUAAUCUCAAAAAAAGAAAAAAAACAUAACUUUUUAAAACUGCCUAAGGAAAUUUUUCAUAGGUUUGUCCAAUAAGACGCCCAAAGCUCUACAGCUAUGGUGGAAGGGACUGCAUCUUGAGCUGACAGCAGUAACGUCCACAUGAGGGUUCUCUUAAAGGAUAAAAACUCCAAGAGUUUCAAAAAGAUGCUGAGGCCACACAGUAUGUGGAGGGUCGAAUUCCUUGAAAGGUACCUCUUAAAGGACAUUGUAUGAAGUUGUGAAGGUGAGGUCUAAGCUGCAGUGAAGACCAUCCCAAGACUGGGAGACAUCCUCGGAGGAAAGCCAAUCCAAGAAAGAGGCUGUGUGUUCUAAACUCAGAAAAGCCAGAGGGAUGCUGCUACCCAAACCAUGAAAGCCCAGCCAGUGUCAUUCCAGGCCCCGUGUGCUUUGGUGUUUGUGCUGCUUGGUUUCAGUCUUGCAUUGACCCCAUCGCUCCUCACUCUUAUUCUGUUUCUCUUUUGGAACGGGAAUGUUUACUCUGUAAUUGGAAAUAAGUAAAAUUUUUUAUUAAUGGCAUAGAGUUAAGAGUUUGUCUUGAGUCUCAGGAGACUUUGGACUUUCGUAUUGUGUUGGCAGCUUUUUGACUCUUACAAAUAGAUGGCAUGGGGUUUGUAUUGACAUGGCAAUAAGCCUUUGAGGACCACCGGUGGGAUGUUGUCAUUUUGAAGUGCUAUUUUUGGGUUUCACAUUGACAAAGGUGGAUCUGUGAUGAGUAAUCUUCCUUGACACCUUGUCCACAUUUGGAAUCACUUGGGGUGCACACACAUCUUUAUAUUUCUAGGGGGGGUUGCGCCAGAAACUUUUAACUUAGGAAGGAAGCUCCAUUCUGAUGUGAGAGGUAUUCUCCAAAAGUCUUGUGUCCUAGACUAAAUAAAAAUGGAAGCAGGAAUGCCAGCCUACCCAAUCUCAGCUCUCUGAUCUUCUGAGAUGUAAGGAUCCUUCUGCUUCCAUGAGCUCUGGCUUGGUUUGGUGCCAUGAUGAAUUAUACCAUCCAAAACCAUGAGCCCCAGCAUAUCCUAUUUCUCGAAAGUUGCUCAUUGUCAGGCAUAUUUGAAACAAAAAAGAAAAAAGCGUUAGAUGCAUUGAUUUUAUAACCAUCUGAAAAAUCUUCGCUUAGACCUACAAAAUAUUACUUCAUAACUGGUGCCGUCAAUGAGUCUUCAAUAAGUGAUUCCAACAUUCUAUAAAGCUGGCUACUUCAGAAUAUCAAGGAAGACAAUAAAGUUGAUGGAUGCUAACAGCAAGAGCCUUUGCCACUGUUCUGCGAAGUGGGUUCCUAGACCAGAAUCGAUACUGUGUGAAAUUCCAUUGCCAACAGAUAAGACAUCCCACAAUUCCACUGAUAAUCAUUUGGACAAAAACAUCGUACAUAAAGAAAGCAAGUCUAUAUCCAUAGUACACAUCUAUUUCAGUAAUAGAAGAAGAUACUUCCCUUCCAUGGCUAAAGCAGCCCAAGGUGAUUAACCUGUCAUAAACCAGUUAGUUGACCACCAUAGGCGAUUGUGGCUUAUCGAGGACUGAGCAGGACCUAAUGCAAAGAGACUAGCCACUAGGCAGUGGCCAUGACAAGGUCAUCCUUGGGAAGUAGACACUAAGCACUCGGCAGUGACCAUGACAAUGUCAUCCUUGGGAGAGAGAAGCCUGGGCCACUUCCUGAGUGCUCCUAGUCAUAAUCUGCCAAUGGCGUUGCUUUCUAAGUCCCCAACCAUCCAGCUAAACCACUGGCUCAAUAAAUCAUUAUACAUCUGGCCACCUAUCCUUUUAGCCAAAGUGAACUACCAUGUGUAGCUCCAUGAAUUUCUGGCCACUUGGAUGAUUUAGUGUCUUCAUAUUUUUCAGGGAUGGCCCAAAGUAGGACACCUGCAACUAUCCAUCUGCAAGUGGUACCAGUUUAUCAUAGAGAACUGUUUGUAAGCCUUAUUCUUCUCGUCCUCUACCAACUAGUCCUCAGAAACUCCCAAAAGACCAGUGUUUCAGGCUGGGAAAGAAAAGGCAACCUAACCUGCAUAGAGACCAUGGACACCAGAGCUGUUUCUUCCCGUAACUUAACUGUGUUUCAGGACUUGAGUGUGUCCUGUCAUGUCUAUUGUCUUUCUGUCUCUUGCUGUGUGUACCAAGCUUUACAGUUUGGUAGGGCAAAUAUCACUCAAUACCUGGUGGAUAGCUCCUGGUGGCAUAUGGCCAAGUAUUCGGUUUUACUAAUGCUACAUACUACUUCCCAAAAGUUCAGUUAGUAUGGAGGAUUGUAAGACUUCACUCUAAGACAUGAAGGACCUGAAAGUGUCCUCUAGGAACAAAAGAAAGGCUCCAAAAUAGUGUCCCCACCUGGUACUGAGCAUUCAAAGACUGCUUAAAGUGGACUGUACAACCCAAAUUGAAAGUGAUCUUGUACAGCCAUCAGGGCUUUCUCUUUUGUUGGGCUCCACUAAUGAUAUAAGAAGACUGAAACAGUUGUAAUAAAAAUCACUAAAAGCUACAAAGCUCCAGUGUCUAAUAUAUAGUAGCAUUGUUAAACUGAAGAAUAAUCAUAAUACAGGACGCUAUGUAACAACAAAUGAGGAUGUCUGCUAUAAGUAGCAUCACCUUGAAUCUCACAGAGAAAGCAACAAAUUAGUGAGGGGGACGGGGAAAGCCAACCACAAAAGACUGCACAUUGUAUAAUUCAAUUAUGUGAAAUCCAAGAACUUAAACAAACUGUGGUGUUUGAGAAGCCAGAGUUUCUGUUACUUGAUUUAGUGGGGUAGACAGUAGAAGUAUGGGAUUAGAAACAGGCAGAGAGGAUCCCUCUGGGAUACAGAAAAUACUCUCUAUAUAUUACAUGGUAUGGAAUGUAUAUAUCUAAAACCCAUUGAUUGUGCAGUUAGGAUUUUUUACUAUCUAGAACUCAGUAAGCUUUUUGUUUUCAUGAAAAUCAUCCCUUUCCUCCCAACAGCUAGACAUUGCUGAAAUUAUAUACAGUGGUGUUUCUAGUCUGCUGCUCUUCCUCUUAACAACCACCCACUAUGGGUUAUCCAUAUUUUUUUUCAUAAGGGAGUUCCUAUUAGAAAAGUGUGUAUCCUGACCACAACAGAAAAUUCCAAAAUAAAAAUUUAAAUACAAUUUAGCAAAAACAUUUAACAAAGAAUCGUUUUCAUUACACAUGCAAAUUUGGGGCAGAUGUGUUCAGCAGAAUAACCCAGGCCUACCCACCACUAGGAUAAAAGUAAAACUUAGUAGGCAGUUCUGAAAUAUUGUAAUGACUUCCCCUGGGUUCCUUUCCAAGGCUGCAGUGGGAACACAGAAAUGCUAAAAAAGGCAUUCCUCUUUCAGAACAUGUGACUGGAACUCUCAGUGCUAGAUGGUUGGGAAAUUCGGCUGAGCCUUGAGGACUAAGCUUUGAAGUCUUUGAGCAACCCUAAUAAAGAAAAGUUCCUCUUGAGAAUGCUGGUUUUGGGGAGCUCAGUAGGAUCCAUGACUUCAGCCCCCUUUGCUGUCUUUGACUACCCACUCGAGAAGCUGUGAGAUGAAUAAGCACUCGGGAGACAGAGGCAGACGGAUCUCUGUGAAUUCGAGACCAGCCUGGUCUACAAGAGCGAGUUCCGGGACUGCAUCCAAAGCCACAGAGAAAGCCUGAAUCGGAAGAAGAAAAAAAGGAGAAGAAGAAGUUGUGGGCUUGGGCUAUUAGGCUGUGGAAUAAAGAGAUGUGUCACAUAUAAGAAACUUCUGACCUCUUGGAAAUAUUUGAUGAGUGGUCCAGACAGGGAACAC
ensembl:lncRNA